rnacentral:lncRNA from 1 species
AGAAGAAACAUUCCAUGACGUCACAGUGCCAGGAGUUGUGCCAUGUAGAUGAACGCUCGUAGAUUGAUUGAUCACCAUUCGAUUCAGUGGCAUUCGGAGUAGAAGCGAAGAUUAUCACCUGAGAAAACACUCCCAAAUUUGCCCAUAGAGCGACUUUUACAACGCUUCAGUGCAGAAGAAGAAAUGCAUCAGUGGGUUUUUUUUAAAGAAUGUGGCAGACUGUAAAAAGUGCAACACAAAACAAUGAAGUGGGCCCUCUUCCGCCACGGCCUAACACACAUUUAGUGGGCCCUCAGCCAGAUCCAUCUGUUCUCGAGCCAGUGGCUCAACAGGUUCCAACCGAUCCUCAACCAGAUCAAUCCAAACUUAAAUCAAUGGCUCUGCAGGAUCCAGAUUAUCCUCAACCAGGUCCAUCUGUCCUCAUGCCCACAGCUCUGCAGAAUCCAGUUGUUCCUCGUACAUUGCCACCUUGGCCUGUCCAGAGUGCUUUCAGGCGAAGAAGACGCAUUGGAGAUCCAGUUCCAUACAUCCCUCCAGCUACUCUUCCAUUUGGUGAACUUUAUGAAUGGGGAAGGUUAAUUGGAAAAGGAGGCAAUGGCUCUGUGUAUGAGGGGAUCCGGAAAUCUGAUGGCCAGAAGGUCGCCAUCAAAUUUAUUCCAAAGAGGACAAGCGACAAUAAUAUAAAAAUUGUAAGUUGGCAAAACUUUAUAAAUAUAUCUAAAUGAAUC